rnacentral:SRP_RNA from 1 species
CCGUGCUAGGCGGGGAGCUAGCGGUUCCCUGUACCCGCAAUCCGCUAUAGCGGGGCUGAACUCCCGUCCGAGGCGGCGCCGUUCAGGGUCUGGCCGGGACACGUGGCGACGAGGACCGGGUCCUGCGCGCCGGGACCUGACCAACCCCGCCAGGUCCGGAAGGAAGCAACGGUACGUCAGAUCUCCCGGGUGCCGCAGGGCAGCCCGGUCGGAGCCGGCGACCCCGAUCCCGCCUGGGCGGCGGGCGUCGACGACGGGUGCACGG